UAACACAUGCAAGUCGAGCGGUAACAGGGGGUGCUUGCACCCCGCUGACGAGCGGCGGACGGGUGAGUAAUGCUUAGGAAUCUGCCCAGUAGUGGGGGACAACAGUCGGAAACGGCUGCUAAUACCGCAUACGCCCUACGGGGGAAAGCAGGGGAUCUUCGGACCUUGCGCUAUUGGAUGAGCCUAAGUCGGAUUAGCUAGUUGGUGGGGUAAAGGCCUACCAAGGCGACGAUCCGUAGCUGGUCUGAGAGGAUGAUCAGCCACAUCGGGACUGAGACACGGCCCGAACUCCUACGGGAGGCAGCAGUGGGGAAUAUUGGACAAUGGGGGCAACCCUGAUCCAGCAAUGCCGCGUGUGUGAAGAAGGCCUUCGGGUUGUAAAGCACUUUCAAUAGGGAGGAAAGGUAGUAAGUUAAUACCUUGCAACUGUGACGUUACCUAUAGAAGAAGCACCGGCUAACUCCGUGCCAGCAGCCGCGGUAAUAAGGGCGAAUUC
rnacentral:rRNA from 1 species